UACGAAGGGGGCUAGCGUUGCUCGGAAUCACUGGGCGUAAAGGGUGCGUAGGCGGGUCUUUAAGUCAGGGGUGAAUCCUGGAGCUCAACUCCAGAACUGCCUUUGAUACUGAAGAUCUUGAGUUCGGGAGAGGUGAGUGGAACUGCGAGUGGUAGAGGUGAAAUUCGUAGAUAUUCGCAAGAACACCAGUGGCGAAGGCGGCUCACUGGCCCGAUAACU
rnacentral:rRNA from 1 species